GACGAACGCUGGCGGCGUGCUUAACACAUGCAAGUCGAGCGGCUCGGCGAACGGGUGAGUAACGCGUGAGUAACUGCCCCCCUCUCUGGGCUAACAGUUGGUAACGGCUGCUAAUACCGGUUCGUGGGGGUUGACUCGCGUGCUAUCAGCUUUUUGGUGGGGUAGUGGCCUACCAAGGCGACGACGGGUCGCCGGCCUGAGAGGGCGACCGGCCACAGUGGGCUGGGAUACGGGCCGAACGCAUACGGGAGGCAGGAGUGGGGAAUAUUGCGCAAUGGGGGAAACCAUGAUGCAGCGACGCCGGGUGCGGGAGGACGGCCUUCGGGUUGUAAACCGCUUUCAGCCAUGACGCGGUAGUGGCAGAAGAAGCAACGGCUAACUACGUGCCAGCAGCCGCGGUAAUUC
rnacentral:rRNA from 1 species